rnacentral:rRNA from 1 species
UACGUAGGGUGCAAGCGUUGUCCGGAAUUAUUGGGCGUAAAGAGCUCGUAGGCGGUUUGUCGCGUCUGCUGUGAAAACUCAGGGCUUAACCCUGAGCCUGCAGUGGGUACGGGCAGACUAGAGUGUGGUAGGGGAGAUCGGAAUUCCUGGUGUAGCGGUGGAAUGCGCAGAUAUCAGGAGGAACAUCGGUGGCGAAGGCGCUCUGCUGGACCAUAACUGACACUCAGGGACGAAAGCUAGGGGAGCGAAUGGG